rnacentral:rRNA from 1 species
ACUUCCUUCGGGAAGUGCAUAAAGUGGCGCACGGGUGAGUAACACGUAAGUAAUCUACCUUCGAGUGGGGAAUAACAGUCGGAAACGACUGCUAAUACCGCAUAAUGCAGCGGCAUCGUAAGAUGACAGUUGUUAAAGGAGCAAUUCGCUUGAAGAGGAGCUUGCGGCAGAUUAGCUAGUUGGUAAGGUAAUGGCUUACCAAGGCAACGAUCUGUAACCGGUCUAAGAGGACGGUCGGUCACACUGACACUGAAUAACGGGUCAGACUCCUACGGGAGGCAGCAGUCGGGAAUUUUGGGCAAUGGGGGAAACCCUGACCCAGCAACGCCGCGUGAAGGAUGAAGUAUUUCGGUAUGUAAACUUCGAAAGAAUAGGAAGAAUUAAUGACGGUACUAUUUAUAAGGUCCGGCUAACUACGUGCCAGCAGCCGCGGUAAUACGUAGGGACCAAGCGUUGUUCGGAUUUACUGGGCGUAAAGGGCGCGUAGGCGGCAUGACAAGUCACUUGUGAAAUCUCCGGGCUUAACUCGGAACGGCCAAGUGAUACUGUCGCGCUAGAGUGCGGAAGGGGCAAUCAGAAUUCUUGGUGUAGCGGUGAAAUGCGUAGAUAUCAAGAGGAAUACCUGAGGUGAAGACGGGUUGCUAGGCCGACACUGACGAUGAGUGCGCGAAAGCCAGGGGAGCAAACGGGAUUAGAUACCCCGGUAGUCCUGGCCCUAAACGAUGAAUACUUGGUGUCUGGAGUUUUUAGUGCUCCGGGUGCCGUCGCUAACGUUUUAAGUAUUCCGCCUGGGGAGUA